GUCCCCGGGAACCCUGGGGCUGAGCCUUCGGGGCGCGGUGGGGGAGGUCUCCUAGUGGGCGCCCGCGCUGCAGAUGUCUAGAGCUUUGGUGGACGGUGACGCUGGGGCGGCGAGCUGGCCCAGACUAGGGUGGAUCUUUUAUCUCUAAUAUCUUCCACCGUGUCCCGGAACACUGGAUGGAUAUGAAUUAGAUCAUUGCUACAAAUUACUUGCCUUGAAUCCUACGAUGGUAGGCCUGACAUUUUUGUGGUGGCGGAAUAGGCCAAAUAAAUAAACUUAAAACAAAUUAAAAGCAGUCUUCUGGAGGAGCAGUUCCAGCAGGGCAAGCUUCUUGCAUGCAUCACUUCAAGACCAGGCCAGUGUGGCCAAGCAGAUGGCUAUGUGCUGGAGGGCAAGGAGCUAGAGUUCUAUCCGAGGAAAAUCAAAGCCUGGAAAGUCAGAUGAGGAUUGAAGGAGAUCCUGCCAGGAAAGCCCCCAGGCUGCCCUUCUGCUUUUGCUGGUGGCAUGAAGGUUCCCUCCCGGGGCCUGAGCUUUAGAGGGCCCGGGUGAGGGGUGAAGAAUCUGGGAGCCCGAGGCCUGGAGGUCAGCUCCCCACCCCCAACCCUCCAGGUGAUGAUAAAACAAUGUGAUCGGCUAUAAAAACUCUGUACCCUGGCUGUUCGAGGCUGCACUCUUACCAAGAGUGUUGGUCCCGAUCUGUCCGCCUUGCCUCUCAUUGUAAUAAACUUUGUUGUGACUGUCACUGGUGCCCGUAGCAUUCUGUUUCAGGAGUCGUGUGGAUGCAACAACCUGAGCUGAAAUCAAGAUUUGGACACUUAAGCUCAAUGGACUGAGCCAUCCAGGCUGUCACUCCUGUGAGUCUGUGAGUUGGCACCACCGACUGCCCUGGAUUAUCCAGGCUGGCCCAGCAUAUAACUGAUGAGUCCCUGAAGGCAGAGCACUUCCCUGGCUGGUGGCAGCUGGGCCAUCGGGGAGAUUAGAAACUGGCUGUGAAGAUGGGAGCCUUGUGCAAGGACUGAACAGCAGCUGCAGAGAGACUGAAGCGACCUCGGCUGACAGGAAGGGGGGACCCCAGUCCUGCAAGUUCCCUGCAGGAACUGAGUCCAGCCAACAACCGGAAUGACCUUGGAAGAGGACCACCCGCCCUGAGCGCCAGGUGAGAUCACAGCGGGUAGAGACUUUGACUCAGCCUCCUGUAAAGCACUGAGCAGAGAAGCCCACUGCGCCAUCCUGUGACACUUCUGACACGUGAGAGAAGAAAUGGAUGCUGUUUUCAGGCACGAGGUAGAAAACAAACACGUGGGGCGCCUGGGUGGCUCACUGGGUUGAGCAUCGGACUUCAGCUCGGGUGCUGACAGCUCAGAGCCUGGAGCCUGCUUGGAUUCUGUCUCCCUCUCUCUCUGCCCCUCCCCCACUCAUGCAUGCGCGCGCGCGCGCGCGCUCUCUCUCUCAAAAAUAAAUAAACAUAAAGGAAAAAAGAAAAUGAACCUGUCAGGUUUCUGGAUACAUUCACUGAAUUAAAAACCGGUGGAGGGCAGGAGAGGCUGGCAGAGAAAAAGACCCUGUCAGAUUGUUGAGAGGAUCAGGAAAGUAUUAGAAAGUAUUUCUUUCCUUUUUUUUUUAAGUUUAUUUAUUCUGAGAGAGAGAGAGCCCACGCGAGCAGGGGAGGAGCAGAGAGAGAGGGGGAAAAAGAGAAUCCUAAGCAGGCUCUGCACUGUCAGCAUAGAGUCUGAUGCAGGCCUCGAACUCACAAACCAUGAGAUCAUGACCUGAGUGGAAACUAAGAGUUGGACCCUUAAUUGACUGAGCCACCCAGGCACCCGCAUCUUGCUUUUUUCAAUAGGAGACUGUUCUUAUGAAAUUGUUGGUGUUUCCAUUAGGAUAGAUAGCCUUAAAUUAGUUUAUCAGAUGUCUAGGGGAGGUUGGACAUCUUCGUGAUCUUGAAUCUUCUUAUUCAGGAACACAAGAGGCCUUUCCAUUUCCUCACAUGUUUUGUGUGCUCAGCGUUUACUAUUUGCUUCAUCUUUAUCUUGAGUAUUAAGUGUAUUCCUAGGAGUUUUAUGUCCUUUCUUCCUUUAUUUUCUGAUUAUUGUUGGCAUACGUAAAAGCCACCUUGCUGAAUUCUCUUAUUGUUUAUUUAGAAUAACGUUUUGGCUAAUCCUCUUUGGGGCUUCCAAGUAUAUAAUCAUGUGAUCUGCAAAUGGUGAUGAUUUUACCUACUCUUUUCCUCUUUUACACCUCGAAUCUCUUUCUCUUGUCCAAUUGUGUUAGUUGUUCCUCCAGAAAAGUUAAAGAAUAAAUGUAAGAAGGUAUUGUUUCUUACUUUAAUCAAAGUAAGAAGGCUUCAGGAAGACGACAUUUCAGUUGUUUUUUAAAAGCGUUUAUCUUAUUCUAUUUUGUCAAGAAUGGCUUAAAUAAAAAUAUAUGUUGAAAUGUAUCAAAUACCCUGUUCAUUCAUAUGGUAAAACCUUGGAUGGUGAGUAACUUGUUCUGUGAGUGUUCAGCAAGACUAGCAAACAUUUCUAAUACAUUUUAACUUAAUAAACAAGCAGUGUUUUGCAA